AAGUUUAGGUUUAACCAAACCAAGAGCCUUCAAAGCCCUAAAUAAGAGUCAACAACCCUCCUAAC
rnacentral:tRNA from 1 species